AGUGAACGCUGGCGGUAGGCCUAACACAUGCAAGUCGAACGGCAGCACAGUAAGCGCUUGCUCUUACGGGUGGCGAGUGGCGGACGGGUGAGGAAUACAUCGGAAUCUACUUUUUCGUGGGGGAUAACGUAGGGAAACUUACGCUAAUACCGCAUACGACCUACGGGUGAAAGCAGGGGAUCUUCGGACCUUGCGCGAUUGAAUGAGCCGAUGUCGGAUUAGCUAGUUGGCGGGGUAAAGGCCCACCAAGGCGACGCUCCGUAGCUGGUCUGAGAGGAUGAUCAGCCACACUGGAACUGAGACACGGUCCAGACUCCUACGGGAGGCAGCAGUGGGGAAUAUUGGACAAUGGGCGCAAGCCUGAUCCAGCCAUACCGCGUGGGUGAAGAAGGCCUUCGGGUUGUAAAGCCCUUUUGUUGGGAAAGAAAAGCAGCAGGUUAAUACCCCGCUGUUCUGACGGUACCCAAAGAAUAAGCACCGGCUAACUUCGUG
rnacentral:rRNA from 1 species